rnacentral:rRNA from 1 species
UACGUAGGGUGCGAGCGUUGUCCGGAAUUACUGGGCGUAAAGAGCUCGUAGGUGGUUUGUCGCGUUGUUCGUGAAAACUCACAGCUUAACUGUGGGCGUGCGGGCGAUACGGGCAGACUGGAGUACUGCAGGGGAGACUGGAAUUCCUGGUGUAGCGGUGGAAUGCGCAGAUAUCAGGAGGAACACCGGUGGCGAAGGCGGGUCUCUGGGCCGAUAUUGACGCUGAGGAGCGAAAGCGUGGGGAGCGAACAGG